rnacentral:tRNA from 1 species
GCCUGGUGGCUCAGUUGGUUGAGCAUCCGACUUUGGCUCAGGUCAUGAUCUCACAGUUUGUGGGUUCAAGCCCGCAUCAGGCU